UACGUAGGGUGCAAGCGUUAAUCGGAAUUACUGGGCGUAAAGCGUGCGCAGGCGGUUAUGUAAGACAGAUGUGAAAUGCCCGGGCUUAACCUGGGAACUGCAUUUGUGACUGCAUGGCUAGAAUCUGGCAGAGGGGGGUAGAAUUCCACGUGUAGCAGUGAAAUGCGUAGAUAUGUGGAGGAACACCGAUGGCGAAGGCGGCAUCCUGGACCGACAUUGACGGCUGAGGCGCGGAAAGCCAGGGGAGCAAACGGG
rnacentral:rRNA from 1 species